ACUAAAGCUCUCUACUCCACUUUGCAACUUUAAUUUGUUCCGCCACCACUCCAUCACCACUACCAAUUUUCAGAUCGAAGAAAUGACGGCUUACGGUGCUAUUUCUUCUCUUGCUGAAACAAUGAACAAUAUUCUCCAUUGUUCUCGUUUUAGCCUUGACGGUCGCUCUCAACAAAUCAUACAAGUCGUGAUCAACGAGUUGCAGCCUUGGCGCCAAAUUCUGGAAAGAUUGGACAAGACGAGCCCAAGCAAGAGCAGGAAGAAGGUGAAUGCUUUGGAUGGAAGAAUUAAAGAGGCAAUUUGGAAAUUCGAAGACUCAUUGGAAUUCCUUCUCAUUCAACACAUUACUUCUUCUCAACUCGAAACUCUUCCAGAGAUAGUCUCCACUGAUCUGCAGAGUCUGCAAAAUGAUGCAGAUUCCUUGAUCCAGAAGCUCAAGGAUAUGGAGAAGGAGUACAUCUAUGAAGUGGAGAAUAUGCCUCAAGACGAACCUAUUUCCUCAUCAUUUGGUUUCCCUGGGACCAAUUCUAAGAUGAGAUUAUCUGACCAAUUCCAACAACUCAAAAACGAUAUUCUGAGAGAUCACUUCAACUUUGGUUUACGCCGCCUAGUUGGAACGGCCGGCGUUGGGAAGACAACUCUUGCAAUGCAAAUCUACCAAGAUCCAGAAAUUCAUUGCAAGUUUGAGUGUCGCGCCUGGGUCACCGUUGGCCGAGUCCCUCAGCCAGCCAGUAUAAUUUCCAAAGGCAUUCUUGCUCAACUGUGUGGAAUUGAAAUCACUCAAGGAGACGAAGAAAUGGACUACUACAGUUUGAAAGAAAGAUUGCCUGACAAGCAUUGCCUCAUUGUGCUGGAUGAUGUCUGGGAGGAAGAAGACGCAUGGCGUAUUACGAGGCAUACUUUUCCUUACAUCCAAAAUCAAAGUGUUCAAGUCUUGCUUACAGGUCGACAUCGAAUAUUGAUGAAUGAUUAUUAUUUUCCUUCUGGGUUUGAGGUGCGGUUUUUGAAUGAAGAAGAAAGCAUGGAACUAUUAUGUGUGAAGGUGUUUGGUGAUGAGAUCUGCCCUCCUCAACUUCAAAAAGUUGCCAUCAAAAUCUCCAAGCAUUGUGAAGGUCUCCCUCUCUUGAUCGUCACUGUGGCUGGCUUCCUUUCGAAAUCCGAGCAGAACAGAGACCUAGUCUACUGGAAUGACGUGGCAGAAAUGAGAAAUUCAGUCUUCCAGGAUGCAUAUGAUGAAAUAUCAAAGGUACUUUUCCCAAGUUCCGACUACUUGCCUCAAAAUCUUAAAAUGACUUUUUUGUUUUUGGGAGUUUUCCCUCGGGAUUACGACACCCCCACUUCCAAGAUCAUCAUCAUGCUCAUGGCUCAAGGGUUUCUUUCAUCGUAUGAAUCGGGAUGUAAAUAUCUGAAAGAGCUAAAUUAUGACUACAGCCUGAUUUUACGCAUCUUGAAGACUGUUGAUAAAAGUCUUCUUGUUGAGUUUGAAGUUACUGAGUUUAAAACUUGCUGGCUUCAUUCUUCAUGGCGGCACGUUUGUAGAGUAGAAGCUAGUAAGAACAAGUUUUAUCAUGUCUUAAAUAAGUUAGAUGAUGCCGAAGAUGAAGUUUUAAAAGGUCAACGCGGCUUAUGUCCCGAAAAUAAGAUUUUAUUUGGCAUCAAAGACUUUCGUGACUCAGUGAGAUUGAAUUGUGCUUCCAUUGCACGUUCUCUCCUUUGCUAUGGUCCUUACCACCAAUAUCCAAUCCAUAUAGACGUCGGUUUCAUGUUGUUAAGGGAAAUAGAUGCCCUUACACAACGUUUUUAUACUUUUCCAACAGAGAUUCUUACACUAGUCCAACUAAAGUACCUUGCUCUAACUUGCAAUGGAGAAGUACCUUCAACCAUAUCUAAACUUUUCAACCUUCGAGUCUUAAUUAUCCAUCCGCAUAUGAAAAUUAGACAUCGUGGAGCUCCAUCGUAUGUACCGAUGGAAAUAUGGGACAUGAAAGAGUUAGAGCAUAUCGAGAUAUUGGGAAAAAGCCUUGUAGCUCCAUCUCAUGUUGUUUCGUUGGAAAAGCUGUCAACUCUGGUAGGGGUGAAUGCUAGUAUUUGUACAAUCUUCAAUCUCUCCCAAAGAAUUCCUAACAUAAAGAAAUUAGGAAUACAGAUUGAGGUCACGCCUUAUGAGGAUCACAAUGAUCUUUUGAGUUGUUUUGAUUGCAUUUCAACACUUGAAAGCUUAGAGACUCUCAAACUCAGUAUUACAAAUCCAGUCAUCAAGAAAGGUAAUGUUUUCCCAAUGAUUGAUGGGGCAUUGAAGUUGCCAUGCAAUUUGAAAAAGUUACAUUUGAGUGGUAUGGGUUUUCCAUGGAAAUACAUGAAUGACAUUGCUUCUAUGCCAAAUCUUGAAGCUCUCAAAUUGCGAUCCUACGCCUUUCAGGGUUCACAUUGGAAUGUAAAAAAUGAUUGUUUUCGAAGUCUUAAGUUUCUUCUAAUUGAAGAAAGUGAUUUGGUGCAAUGGAAAUCCAGACGCGGAAGCUUCUGCGAGCUUGCAGUCUUAAGCAUAAAACAUUGCUACAAACUUGAAAUUAUCCGCAUACCUUCUCUCUUUAAUCCCCAUGACCUAGAGGAGAUUGAAUUAGAGGACUGCAAUCCUUUAGUUUUGACUUGGGCCACCCAAUUACAACCACGUUUAACUUGUACGCUUCGUGUUACUUUCUCUUCUUCUUUUGAUGAGAAACCGACAACUAUCAAAUUUAAAAGGUUUGGAACCAUACUUUAUGAUGAAUAUAAAGAUGAUCAUGAGGAGAAUGAGGAAGAGAAUGAAAACGAAUAUACUUAUAUAUGAUCAUGAGUGUACAAAGGCGAGUAAUCAUGAGGAUACAGAGGUGAGCGCAAAUGUCAAGGAGCACGAGAAAUCUUUGAGGCUUUGAAUUUGCUGCUGCAGAGGCGAUGCACAUGUUAUUCAAAGUAUGAUUUUUCUCAAUAAAUAUAAUAACUUUGUAGUGAUUUCUUGGUAUUUUGGUUUGAUUCCCAAUAAAUGAGUCAUGAAUGUUGUAUUACUACUUAUUUAGGGUUGUCACUUAAAUUUAAGAAUUGUAAUUUGAGUGGAUUAUGUAUGAAUUCAAUGUUGUUUUGUGUUGGAUUUAAUUGAAAACAUUACUUGGGAAUUUAAA